GCACUAAGACAACACCAGGAACACAAGUCACCACUGGGCCAGUUACUGCCUCUACAACUGCUGUUGUUGAAACCACCACCACAGUUUGAAGUGGCAACAACCGCAAGUCCAGAAACAACAGUUGUUACAUCCACACCAUCUGUUGUCACCACAACCGUAAAAGCUACAGGAUCAACAACGCAGGGAACCACAACCCAGCCUGGACAGACCACAGCUUCAAAAGAAACAACUGUAAGCACUAAGACAACACCAGGAACACAAGUCACCACUGGGCCAGUUACUGCCUCUACAACUGCUGUUGUUGAAACCACCACCACAGUUGGAAGUGGCACAACCGCAAGUCCAGAAACAACAGUUGUUACAUCCACACCAUCUGUUGUCACCACAACCGUAAAAGCUACAGGAUCAACAACGCAGGGAACCACAACCCAGCCUGGACAGACCACAGCUUCAAAAGAAACAACUGUAAGCAGUAAGACAACACCAGGAACACAAGUCACCACUGGGCCAGUUACUGUCUCUACAACUGCUGUUGUUGAAACCACCACCACAGUUGGAAGUGGCACAACCGCAAGUCCAGAAACAACAGUUGUUACAUCCACACCAUCUGUUGUCACCACAACCGUAAAAGCUACAGGAACAACAACGCAGGGAACCACAACCCAGCCUGGACAGACCACAGCUUCAAAAGAAACAACUGUAAGCAGUAAGACAACACCAGGAACACAAGUCACCACUGGGCCAGUUACUGCCUCUACAACUGCUGUUGUUGAAACCACCACCACAGUUGGAAGUGGCACAACCGCAAGUCCAGAAACAACAGUUGUUACAUCCACACCAUCUGUUGUCACCACAACCGUAAAAGCUACAGGAUCAACAACGCAGGGAACCACAACCCAGCCUGGACAGACCACAGCUUCAAAAGAAACAACUGUAAGCACUAAGACAACACCAGGAACACAAGUCACCACUGGGCCAGUCACUGCCUCUACAACUGCUGUUGUUGAAACCACCACCACAGUUGGAAGUGGCACAACCGCAAGUCCAGAAACAACAGUUGUUACAUCCACACCAUCUGUUGUCACCACAACCGUAAAAGCUACAGGAACAACAACGCAGGGAACCACAACCCAGCCUGGACAGACCACAGCUUCAAAAGAAACAACUGUAAGCACUAAGACAACACCAGGAACACAAGUCACCACUGGGCCAGUUACUGCCUCUACAACUGCUGUUGUUGAAACCACCACCACAGUUGGAAGUGGCACAACCGCAAGUCCAGAAACAACAGUUGUUACAUCCACACCAUCUGUUGUCACCACAACCGUAAAAGCUACAGGAACAACAACGCAGGGAACCACAACCCAGCCUGGACAGACCACAGCUUCAAAAGAAACAACUGUAAGCACUAAGACAACACCAGGAACACAAGUCACCACUGGGCCAGUUACUGCCUCUACAACUGCUGUUGUUGAAACCACCACCACAGUUGGAAGUGCCACAACCGCAAGUCCAGAAACAACAGUUGUUACAUCCACACCAUCUGUUGUCACCACAACCGUAAAAGCUACAGGAUCAACAACGCAGGGAACCACAACCCAGCCUGGACAGACCACAGCUUCAAAAGAAACAACUGUAAGCACUAAGACAACACCAGGAACACAGGUCACCACUGGGCCAGUCACUGCCUCUACAACUGCUGUUGUUGAAACCACCACCACAGUUGGAAGUGGCACAACCGCAAGUCCAGAAACAACAGUUGUUACAUCCACACCAUCUGUUGUCACCACAACCGUAAAAGCUACAGGAACAACAACGCAGGGAACCACAACCCAGCCUGGACAGACCACAGCUUCAAAAGAAACAACUGUAAGCACUAAGACAACACCAGGAACACAAGUCACCACUGGGCCAGUUACUGCCUCUACAACUGCUGUUGUUGAAACCACCACCACAGUUGGAAGUGGCACAAACCGCAAGUCCAGAAACAACAGUUGUUACAUCCACACCAUCUGUUGUCACCACAACCGUAAAAGCUACAGGAACAACAACGCAGGGAACCACAACCCAGCCUGGAAAGACCACAGCUUCAAAAGAAACAACUGUAAGCACUAA
ensembl:lncRNA